rnacentral:rRNA from 1 species
CGGGUUCUGCAGUGGCGGACGGGUGAGUAUCGCGUAGGGAUUUAUCGUUGGGUGGGGGACAACCUUGGGAAACUGGGGCUAAUACGCAUGACGCCUUUGGGCCAAAGCUUUAGGGUGCCUGACGAGAAGCCUGCGUCCGAUUAGGUAGUUGGUGGGGUAAAGGCCUACCAAGCCUGCGAUCGGUAGCUGGUCUGAGAGGAUGAUCAGCCACACUGGGACUGAGACACGGCCCAG